CCCUUAGAUGUUCUGGGCCGCACGCGCGCUACACUGAUGCAUUCAACGAGUCUAAAACCUGCUCUGAUAGGGGUGGGUAAUCUUUUGAAUGUGCAUCGUGAUUGGGAUAGAUGAUUGCAAUUUUUCAUCUUCAACGAGGAAUGCCUAGUAAACGCAAGUCAUCAGCUUGCAUUGAUUACGUCCCUGCCCUUUGUACACACCGCCCGUCGCUCCUACCGAUUGAAUGAUCCGAUGAAUAUCAUGGGUUGAGGAUGCAAGUAGGUUAGCCUAUCUUCAUCUUCGAGAAGUGAAGUAAAUCUUAUCAUUUAGAGGAAGGAGAAGUCGUAACA
rnacentral:rRNA from 1 species